CACGCCAUAAACGAUGAGAACUAGACGUUGAGAGGGUCAGCCUCCCAGUGUCGUAGCUAACGCGCUAAGUUCUCCGCCUGGGGAGNCAACGCGAAGAACCUUACCUGGUCUUGACAUCCUGGGAAGUCUGCAGAGAUGCGGAUGUGCCUUCGGGAACCCAGAGACAGGUGC
rnacentral:rRNA from 1 species